CUGAGGUGGCGACCGGCGCACGGGUGAGUAACACGUAUGCAACCUGCCUGUAAGCGGGGAAUAACCCGUUGAAAGACGGACUAAUACCGCAUAAUACUAAAUUACUCGCAUGGUAAUUUAUUUUAAACAUUUAUGGCUUACAGAUGGGCAUGCGCAUGAUUAGCUAGUUGGAGAGGUAACGGCUCCCCAAGGCAACGAUCAUUAGGGGUUCUGAGAGGAAGGUCCCCCACACUGGUACUGAGACACGGACCAGACUCCUACGGGAGGCAGCAGUGAGGAAUAUUGGUCAAUGGACGAGAGUCUGAACCAGCCAAGUCGCGUGCAGGAAGAAUGUCCCUAUGGAUUGUAAACUGCUUUUGCAGGGGAAUAAAGUGCAUCACGUGUGAUGUUUUGUAUGUACUCUGCGAAUAAGGAUCGGCUAACUCCGUGCCAGCAGCCGC
rnacentral:rRNA from 1 species